UUAACUCAAAUUUGUAUGCAGUUGGAACAGCGCCCUUAGCGGCAAACGUAGGCAAACGUUCCAACUUCAUACAAAUUUGAGUUA
rfam:Bombyx mori DNA, contig: Bm_scaf13_contig10151, strain: p50T/Dazao, build 2, whole genome shotgun sequence.